rnacentral:rRNA from 1 species
GACGAACGCUGGCGGCGUGCCUAAUACAUGCAAGUCGAACGCAGUGGGGACGGGUGAGUAACACGUGGGUAACCUCCCAUCAGAGGGGAUAACACUUGGAAACAGGUGCUAAACCGAUACUGAUGGAUGGACCCGCGGUGCAUUAGCUAGUUGGUGAGGUAACGGCUCACCAAGGCCACGAUGCAUAGCCGACCGGAGAGGGUGAUCGGCCACACUGGGACUGAGACACGGCCCAGACUCCUACGGGAGGCAGCAGUAGGGAAUAUUGGGCAAUGGGCGAAAGCCUGACCGAGCAACGCCGCGUGAGUGAAGAAGGUUUUCGGAUCGUAAAACACUGUUGUUAGGGAGGCGGUACCUAAACAGAAAGCCACGGCUAACUACGUGCCAGCAGCCGCGGUAAUAC